rnacentral:rRNA from 1 species
UGGGGAAUAUUGCACAAUGGGCGCAAGCCUGAUGCAGCCAUGCCGCGUGUGUGAAGAAGGCCUUCGGGUUGUAAAGCACUUUCAGCGGGGAGGAAGGCGAUAAGGUUAAUAACCUUGUCGAUUGACGUUACCCGCAGAAGAAGCACCGGCUAACUCCGUGCCAGCAGCCGCGGUAAUACGGAGGGUGCAAGCGUUAAUCGGAAUUACUGGGCGUAAAGCGCAUGCAGGCGGUCUGUCAAGUCGGAUGUGAAAUCCCCGGGCUCAACCUGGGAACUGCAUUCGAAACUGGCAGGCUAGAGUCUUGUAGAGGGGGGUAGAAUUCCAGGUGUAGCGGUGAAAUGCGUAGAGAUCUGGAGGAAUACCGGUGGCGAAGGCGGCCCCCUGGACAAAGACUGACGCUCAGGUGCGAAAGCGUGGGGAGCAAACAGG